CUUCGGGCUCCGGCCGCCAGUGCUAUCUUCGUUGCGUGAUGGAGCUCCAAGGCUCCACCCCCCUCCAGACGCUUAGAUGGAUCAGGUGCCGGUUGCAUUCAUUGAAGAUUUGGCCCUCUCCACCACCGUGUCGCUACCCCAUACCCGUCGUCCCUGCAUAUCUGAAUGACGCACCUUCAAUCCACUGCUGCCCAAGGAGCGAAUGGGAAGGACCGGUACGAGCGUUCUGUCCGGUAGCUAGGUAGCAAGAAGCACCAACCCUUCAUGCUCCCAAGAAGGACACAACUGCUGAGAUUGCUAAGAAACAAGAGCAAGAAAAACAAAGGUAGGAAAAAGCUUCCGAAGUUGGUCGAUAUAGGCUUUGUAGCCACAGUGGAAGUCUUAGUCAUUCUCUGCCAAGGUAAUAAAACCAAUCGUUGUUGUUUCA